UACGUAGGGGGCAAGCGUUGUCCGGAAUCAUUGGGCGUAAAGAGCGUGUAGGCGGCCUGGUAAGUCCGCUGUGAAAGUCCAGGGCUCAACCCUGGAAUGCCGGUGGAAACUGUCAGGCUCGAGUCCGGAAGAGGCGAGUGGAAUUCCUGGUGUAGCGGUGAAAUGCGCAGAUAUCAGGAGGAACACCGGUGGCGAAGGCGGGUCUCUGGGCAGUGAACUGACGCUGAGGAGCGAAAGCGUGGGGAGCGAACAGG
rnacentral:rRNA from 1 species